rnacentral:ncRNA from 1 species
UUAUCGGAGAGUUUGAUCCUGGCUCAGGACGAACGCUGGCGGCGUGCCUAAUACAUGCAAGUCGAGCGGAUUGAUGGGAGCUUGCUCCCUGAUAUCAGCGGCGGACGGGUGAGUAACACGUGGGUAACCUGCCUGUAAGACUGGGAUAACUCCGGGAAACCGGGGCUAAUACCGGAUAACUCAUUUCCUCGCAUGAGGAAAUGUUGAAAGAUGGCUUUUAGCUAYCACUUACAGAUGGACCCGCGGCGCAUUAGCUAGUUGGUGAGGUAACGGCUCACCAAGGCAACGAUGCGUAGCCGACCUGAGAGGGUGAUCGGCCACACUGGGACUGAGACACGGCCCAGACUCCUACGGGAGGCAGCAGUAGGGAAUCUUCCGCAAUGGACGAAAGUCUGACGGAGCAACGCCGCGUGAGUGAUGAAGGUUUUCGGAUCGUAAAGCUCUGUUGUUAGGGAAGAACAAGUGCCG